GUUAACAACAAUUUUUUUAUCAUUCACAUAAUUCAAUCAAAUUUCAUAGGUUUAACAUCAACAUUUUCAUCCUUCCCACAAUUUAAUCAAAUUUCAUCGGUUUAACAUCAUUAUUUUCAUCAUUCCUACAAUUCAAUUAAAUUUCAUGGGUUUAACAACAACAUUUUCAACAUUCCCAUAAUUCAAUCAAAUUUUAUGGCUUUAACAACAAUUUUUUUAUCAUUCACACAAUUCAAUCAAAUUUCAUGGGUUUAACAUUAACAUUUUCAUCAUCCCCACAAUUCAAUCAA
rnacentral:lncRNA from 1 species